rnacentral:rRNA from 1 species
GGUGUUGGCUUAGCAUGGUGACCACGGGUGACGGAGAAUUAAAGGUUCAUUCCGGAGAGGGGAGCCUGAGAGACGGUUAUCACAUCCAAGGAAGGCAGCAGGCGCGCAAAUUACCCAAUCCCGACUCUGGGAGGUAGUGACAAGAAAUAACAAUGCGGGGCUCUCGCGAGUCUCGCAAUUGGAAUGGGCGCGACUCAAAUCCUCGACGCGAGGACCAAUUGGAGGGCAAGUCUGGUGCCAGCAGCCGCGGUAAUUCCAGCUCCAAUAGCGUAUAUUUAAGUUGCUGCAGUUAAAAAGCUCGUAAUUGGACUUCGGGGCGGCGCGGCCGGUCCGCCGCGAUGCCUACGGAGAGCAAUAGUUCCGCUGGCCUUCCUCAAGCAGACUUUGCGUGAUUUUUAAUGAGUGUGCGUCGGAGAACUGACGUUUACUUUGGAAAAAUCAGAGUGUUCCAAACCGGGUUUUGCUUGGAUACAUAAACAUGGGAUUAUGGGAUAGGACUUUGGGUUUAUUUUCCCUUGGUUUUUGGAACCGGAGUAAUGAUUUAUAGGGACCAUUUGGGGCAUUCCUAUUUCGUUGUCAGAGGAGGAAAUUUUGGGAUUACGGAAGACGAAAUUAAGCGAAAGCCUUUGCCCAGGAAGUUUUCCUUUAUCCAGAACCAAAAUUUGAGGAUCGAAGACGAUCCGA